rnacentral:lncRNA from 1 species
UUAAUUGCCUAAAGGAAAACCACCUCAAUUUUUUUUUUUUUAGGAGUAGUAUUUCUAAAGAAAAUUCUAACGAAAAUAUAAAAACGUAAACUAUCUUCUUCUUUUUUUGGAUUUUUGAGUUACAACACACUUUUUCAAAUAUAAAUCUCCUUAAGCAACUCCUGAAUGAGCAAUCCUGACUAGAUGAUCUCGGGGUAUCUGUCAUGCUCAAACUCCGGUAAGUAGAUCCACACCUGUAUGAAAAAAAACUAAAACCAACACUAGGUGAGACAAUAACACUCCCUAUUGGACGCAUGCAAGACAUGAUUGAGGCUAUUUUUGCAAAAUGGCUUAUGUGACCAAAAGGUGGCUAGAAAUGCAAAAUUUGGCUAAGACCCCGCAAAGACAAGAACCUAAGAUUCACUAGGAAGACUGGACUCUAUGUGGGUUACCUACGUAUCACGCCCCGAAAGACGAGAAUCAUGUAUGCGUAGUUCGGGUAGAUUGGAUACGGGCGGGAAUUACAAAAAUAACUAAUUUAGAGAAAAAUAUUUUUUUUUGUCUUUUUUUAAAAAAAAUGAUAAAACAUGUAAACUCUUUUUGGAUUUUUUUUUUCUUUUUUUUUUGAUUUUCGGAAAAUGAUGAAAAGUGCAAAACCUUUUGUUGAAUUUUUCAAGUUUUUUUUUCCUUAACAAAAUAUGACAGAAAACAUAAUCGAGCCCUACUUGCCUUAUUUUUCACACUUCACCCUCUCUCUUUUUUCUUCUCUUUUUUUUUCUUUUGCCCUCAACUAUCAUUGGUCCGCCAAAUGAUCCUUUUACCCUUGAAAAAAUGCAACAUGUAGCACAUAGGAUGCAUCAAGAUGGUCUGUUAUUCUGGGUAUACUUGUCUUAGACCGACCCAACCCUUGUGUUGAGUCCCCAAAGUCAGAUGCACAUGAUGCAACAAACGUUCCUACUAGGGAUCCGUCAUGAGGCUAUGUUAUUCUAGGUUUAAAACCUGGGUUUAUUUGUUCUAAACCUGGUUUACCCAAGCGGACAGCUCGAGCCGAGGGGGAGCAGUGUACCGGGAAUAUAGAAGCUUCACCGGCUUUGCAACUUGUCCGAACCUCAUUCUAAAAUUGGGAUAUGACUCUAACAGAAGAGAAGUUACACGAAGUGCACCUUAAUCAGAUGAUUUAGAAGACUUAGAGAGAGGAGGGUUUCGCACCAAUUUAUAUACAGUUCAACAAUAUCAAAGCAGUAAAAAGCAGCAUUUAGCACAUUAGGCCCAAACAUGUAAAUAAAACCAGAUAAUAAAUAAAGCCAAAUAUAACAAUUAUUCUAAGCUCGAAUUCUUGAACCCUGAACCAGAGAUUCUGGGUUCUUGUCCCCAGCAGAGUUGCCAGAGCUGUCACACCUCCUUUCUCCUACCCCCGUAGGGGUAUAAGAGAGUUUCUCCAAUUUAAGUGACAAUCAAAACGGGAUUUUUUUGUUUAAAAUUCAGAGUCGCCACUUGGGAUAAUUUAUGGUGUCCCAAGUCACCGGUUUUAAAUCCCGAAUCGAGGAAAGAUUGACUCUGUUUUAGUCCGCGAACACAGAAAUUGGGGUAAGGAAUUCUGCUAACCCGGGAGAAGGUGUUAGGCAUUCUCGGGUUCCGUGGUUCUAGCACGGUCGCUCAACUAUUAUUAUUGGCCUAAUUAUCUGAUUUUAAAACACUUUUAAACCUAUGUGCAUUUUUAACUUUAACCCCGCUUUUAUUGAUUUAAGGAAUUAUUUCAAGGUUAUUUAAAACACAUCGCAAGCCACGCUACAUGAAAUGUACCCGUGAUUCACGACACGUUCAAUUUAACCUUGUUGGAAAUUAGAAUCGGGUCACAUGAAAUGUACCCGAAUUUUAGUAAUUACAAAUCAUAACUACGUCACGGGAACCACACCCGUAACCAUGAUAAUUAUUUAAUUAAUGCGCCUGAAGAAAACUAUGAUAUUUAUGAAUAUUAACGGCCUAAGCGUGCUCCUAACGAUCCAAAAUCACAUCAAUAAGCAAUAUCUAAACAAUAUACAACUCCAAUCGUUACAAAAUUUAGUUGAAAUCGUUACUCAAUCCAAUAUCACUUUGGUCUAAUUCACUGUCAUUUUAGCCCAUACUUAUCGUUUUGGUACAAAUUACAAAUAAAUUAUUCACUUUCAAAACAAAUUACUAAGUUGCAAUAGUUUUGAAAAAAUAGCACCUCCCUUUACAUGACUAAAACACAUUAUGGUUCAUAAUAAAAUCAAACUAGCAGACUAAUUUCAAACAAGACAGAGUAAACAAACUAGCAAAUAACUCAACAUUUUUAGAGGUCUUAAACUAAUUUCAAACAAGACACAAUAAACAAACCAAACUGGUAGACUAAUUAAUCAGAACAACUAAGGCAUACCCAACAAAAUUGAACAAGAAAAACUCACUCAAAAUGUUCAAACAACUAUGUAAAGGGAAAUGAGAUGGACCUCUAUUACUGUAAUUUGUUCUCAAACCAAUAAAAUGGAUUUCCAGUCGCAAUGGUCGCGAGUAGCUACAAUUGUUCAGGUGGUAUUAAACAGAACCCGACUUGUCAAACAAAACUUGACCACGAACCGGGACCGUCGAUCGGAACCUUGACAGCAAACCUCGAGCGAACCUCUGUCUUGCUCCGAUAACUGUUUUCAUGGCUAAUCCGCUACUGAAGCUAUGGUGUGUUCAUAGUAACCUUUGAAGAAUAGUGAAGGGAUGACGAUGGAUGGUGUUGAAGGGGUUGCUGUGAUGGCGUCGCGACUGAGUGAGAGACAGUAAUGGGAGGAACUGGAGGGGUCUGUUUUCGCUAGUGUAAGGUCGGAUCGUUCGGCUGCUGCUUCUCUUUUAAUCUCUGUGUGUUUUUGUUAAUGAAGAUGGUGAAGAAGCAGAACGGAUGGGAGGGCCUGAAUCUUGGCUGAAGAGAGAUUCCUUUAGUCUCUAGUGUUGAAAUGGCUGACUAUCGAGACUGAGUUUUGCUAGGGUUCUUCUAUGUCUGCUUCUUUGUGUGUGAGGAAGAUGAUACUUAAGGUGUGUCUAUAUUCAAAAUCAGAAAUGGUUGUGUGUGUUGGACCUUCUAGGGUCUUUUUGUUAAGUUUCCAUAAGGAAGAAGAGAGCUCCAGGUUGUCUUCUAUUGUGUGCUAAAGCUUAAGGCUUUUGAUCCAAGAUCCUCAUGGAAAACGGCGGAUGUUGUGUAUUCUUUUCCUAGGGUUCGCUCCUUAGGUCUCUAUAAAGAAGAAAGGUUUGAUGGAGAGUGGGGGUCUCUCUAUUGUGUGUUGCGGCUGAGUAAAGUCUAGGGUCUAGGUUUUUUUUUCUUGUAUAUUAUGCUAAAGGAGUAUC